rnacentral:rRNA from 1 species
CAUGUCUAAGAACAUAUGUGUAAACAUGAAUCUGCGAACGGCUCAUUAUGAACACCCCUAACCUACCCAGUUAUCGUAUCCGAAACGGAUAUCUGCGUUAAUUUUGGAGCUAAUACGUGCACCAGAGCACCGCCAGCAAUGGUAGUGCGCACUUAUUAGAACAAGGCCGACUGGGGCAACCCUUUUGGUGACUCUGAAUAAUUUCGCGGAUCGUAUGGUCUUGUACCGACGACGUACUGGUCGGGGGGGUGCCCUAUCAACUAUUGAUGGAAGUCUAUGUGUCUUCCAUGGUUGUAACGGGUAACGGAGAAUCAGGGUUCGACUCCGGAGAGCUAGCCUUAGAAACGGCUAUCACAUCCAAGGAAGGCAGCAGGCGCGUAAAUUACCCACUCUCAAUUCGAGGAGGUAGUGACUAUCAAUAACGAGACAGAUCUCUUUGAGGUCUGUCAUUGAAAUGAGCACAACUUAAAGACUUUAACGAAGUCUAUGGGAGGGCAAGUCUGGUGCCAGCAGCCGCGGUAAUUCCAGCUCCCAACGUGUAUAUCGUCAUUGCUGCGGUUAAAAAGCUCGUAGUUGGAUCUAAGUUUAUGACAGUAGUUCUCCAUGUGAGAUACUGCGUGUCUGAACUGUUUCGCCGGUUUUCCUUGUCUUCGGACUUGGUGGCUGGUGUUGUAACUUUGAUUAAAUCAAUGUGAUUAAAACAGGCGUUUGCUUGAAUGCUUUAUCAUGGAAUAAUAGAAUAUGACUUCGGUCCAUUCUGUUGGUCUUGGGAUUGAAGUAAUGAUUAAGAGGAAUAACUCGGGGGCAUCCGUAUCGCUGCGUGAGAGGUGAAAUUCUUGGACCGCAGCGAGACGACCGAUUGCGAAAGCAUU